AGUGAACGCUGGCGGUAGGCCUAACACAUGCAAGUCGAACGGCAGCACAGUAAGAGCUUGCUCUUACGGGUGGCGAGUGGCGGACGGGUGAGGAAUACAUCGGAAUCUACUUUUUCGUGGGGGAUAACGUAGGGAAACUUACGCUAAUACCGCAUACGACCUUCGGGUGAAAGCAGGGGAUCUUCGGACCUUGCGCGAUUGAAUGAGCCGAUGUCGGAUUAGCUAGUUGGCGGGGUAAAGGCCCACCAAGGCGACGAUCCGUAGCUGGUCUGAGAGGAUGAUCAGCCACACUGGAACUGAGACACGGUCCAGACUCCUACGGGAGGCAGCAGUGGGGAAUAUUGGACAAUGGGCGCAAGCCUGAUCCAGCCAUACCGCGUGAGUGAAGAAGGCCUUCGGGUUGUAAAGCCCUUUUGUUGGGAAAGAAAAGCAGCAGGUUAAUACCCCGCUGUUCUGACGGUACCCAAAGAAUAAGCACCGGCUAACUUCGUG
rnacentral:rRNA from 1 species